AUGGCGGCGACGGCCGGGGCGGCGGCGGAGAUCGUGCGGGAGAUCGCGGCCGUGGGCGCCGCCGACCUGGCCGCCGCGCCGGAGCCGCUGCGGGCCGACUGCCUCCGCCUCGCGCGGAAGGUGUCCCUGCUCACGCACCUCGUCGCCGAGGUCGCCGAGGCGGCGGGGGAGGACGGCGCGGCGGGGCCCGAGGCGGCCGCGUGGGUGGCCGACCUGCUACGGGCGCUCCAGGCCGCCAGGAGGUUCGUCGCGCUCGGCCGCGUGCUGGCGCUCCACACGGGGGCCGCGGAUCAGGAUGUCAACGACAAGAAUAUUGCUGUUCAAUUCAAGUAUGUGACUUGGCAGUUGCAAGCAGCUCUAACAAAUCUACCGCAUAGUUGUUUUCAAAUAUCUGAUGAAGUUCAAGAAGAGGUUGAUUUAGUGCGGGGUCAGCUUAAAAGAGAAAUGGAGAAGAAGGGAGCCCUUGAUCUAAAUAUUUUUUCAAAAAUUCAUGAUAUCUUAGCUCAUCAUGUUGAUAAUGUUGGAUCACAAUCUGAAGAACCACACAGCCAGCCAGAGACAUUGUCGUUGGAAAACUUGAGAAGUGAUCACUUGGAGUUGCAACAUGUUGCUUUACUAAUUUCAGAAAUAAGCGGGAUAUCUAAAUCUGACAUUAAAAAAAUAACGUCUGAGCUAAUUGAAGGGCUUGAAAAUGCUAGAGUUGAUGAUUCUGCAAAACCAACCAAUGGUGAUAGCAAAACAAGUGAUGAAGCAAAAGACUCACCUGACAGCGUUAAGAAGCCCGACACUGUAGCUAUGCCUGAAGAUUUCCGUUGCCCAAUAUCUCUUGAGCUGAUGAGGGAUCCUGUCAUUGUGUCAACAGGGCAGACAUAUGAGCGUGCUUUCAUUCAAAGGUGGAUUGAUGGUGGAAACCGAACCUGCCCAAAAACUCAACAGAAGCUCCAAAACCUUACAUUAACCCCAAACUAUGUAUUGAGAAGUUUAAUAUUGCAAUGGUGUGAGGAAAAAGGGAUCGAACCACCUACAAGAUCGAAAUAUGAAGGUUCUUCCGUAGAGGUCGGUGAGGACAGAUUGGCAAUUGAAGCAUUAGUUCGCAAUCUUUCUUGCAGCUCAUUGGAUGAACGGAAAUCUGCUGCUGCUGAAAUAAGAUCCUUGGCCAAAAAAAGUACAGACAACCGCAUGCUUCUAGCAGAGUCCGGUGCUAUUCCUGCUCUAGUGAAACUUUUGUCCUCAAAAGACCCCAAAACCCAGGAACAUGCAGUUACAUCUCUUUUGAAUCUCUCCAUAUAUGAUCAAAACAAGGAACUGAUAGUGGUUGGCGGUGCCAUUGUCCCAAUCAUACAGGUGCUUAGGACGGGUAGCAUGGAGGCAAGAGAAAACGCAGCUGCAGCAAUUUUCAGCUUGUCACUAAUCGAUGAUAACAAGAUAAUGAUAGGAAGCACUCCUGGGGCGAUCGAAGCAUUGGUUGAGCUGCUGAAGAGUGGCAGUUCAAGAGGUAGAAAAGAUGCAGCAACAGCACUGUUCAAUCUGUGCAUAUACCAGGCAAACAAGGUCCGCGCGGUCCGGGCAGGAAUAUUGUCACCACUGGUUCAGAUGCUGCAAGAUUCAUCCAGCGCCGGAGCCACUGACGAGGCGCUCACAAUCCUGUCGGUCCUCGUGAGUCACCACGAGUGCAAGACGGCCAUAGCCAAGGCUCACACCAUCCCCUUCUUGAUCGAUUUGUUAAGAUCAAGCCAGGCCCGUAACAAGGAGAAUGCCGCGGCCAUUUUACUUGCACUCUGCAAGAAGGAUGCCCAGAAUCUCGCUUGCAUAGGGAGGCUGGGUGCUCAAAUACCAUUAACAGAGCUGUCCAAGACCGGCUCGGACAGAGCCAAGCGCAAGGCGACAUCUCUCCUGGAGCAUCUCAGUAAGUUGCAGGUGCUCUAG
rnacentral:rRNA from 1 species